UGCAUUGUGCCUAUAUAUAAAUAGUUAUCAUUGCAUUUUUGUUCACAUUUUCCUCUUCUGUCUUAGUAAAUAGUCUUUUAUCUCAACUCCCAUGUUCUAUUUUCUUUCUAAUUCUUUCACUCAUUCCACCCUGGGAAAUGGCCAUGUGGCGUUGCAGUGGAAAUGCUAAGUCGUGGCUCAAAGCAGUGACUGAGCCAUUGGUGGGAAAGUAGGGCUAACCCAGGGGAGCUCAGGUGCAUGCAACCAGAAGGUGUGGAGCCAGGAUCUGCCCUUUCCUGUUGGAAAAGGCUUGGUAGGGGAGGAAAGGCUUUCUGUCUGGAGAUCCCUGCAUACCUGAAACCUUGUGAAGACAGGGCAGCAGGAGGAGCAAGGAAGUCCUGGACUCUAUGUAUGCUGUGCUCAGCAACAAUUAAAGCAUCAGUGUGCAUUGCUACUUCAUCAAAAAUCCAGAACAAAGUAUCAUAUGAGCCUCUACAGAGAAAAAUACUUCUAUCUCAGCCAAAAUCAUGACACCACUGAAGUUUAUGUGAUUUUAACUUCUAUUUGUUUGCUGUCUGUCUACAUCAUCAGGAAUUCAUUAACCAUCAAGCAGACCUAAUUUGAGUUUCAGGCACAAUUGAAUACCAACCAGAAAGAAUCUGGCCUUGAUAGUUCCCUUCAAUUUUGUUACACCUGCUCUGAGGAUAUCAAGGGAUACACAUUAAUCUGCUUUUGCACAGAACCAGAUGUUACCUUUUGUAGCAAGUCAUUAAAUUUCAAAGACUACUGAUGGUGUUGAUCUAGGCAGUAAACGUAACACUCUAGAUUCCAUGGAAAGAAAUAAAAGGCAUUACUUCUGGGGUGAAUUACAUGACUUGCUGCUUUUAAAACAAUUUCUCAAUUUUGAAGAUAUAUUUCACACUUGACAUCUUCAAAAGAUGGUUUUAUAACUACUUCCAGCUAAGUUCCAGAAGAACUCAUCCUUGUAAGAAUUUUUCAGGAUAGAACAGAGCAUUUCUGUUGAGGUAAAAUGCAACAAGAGCAUGCAGCUGCCUCCUUUGCAGCACCAGCUGUUCUUAUCCAGCCACUGGCGCAGCCAAGGAAUCCAGUCUCUUUGGAGAUUAACCCAGUAGCAAGGGUGGUCAGGUACCCCUGAGAUACACAGAUACCUGAAGACAGGAUGCUGAUAUGACCAGCCACAAAGGCUGCCUGAGCCAAAGGCCGUAUACAGCACUUACAGGACUCAUGUGAACAGUUACAACCAAGACCUCUUCCUCCUCUAUAACUGGUUGAUUAAGUUAAAUAGUGAAGCCAUGCACACAAUACUUCCUAAGCUCAUAAGCAAAGUCAUAUUUGUUAAUUGUUCGUGGCAUGGUCCUUCUGUUUCUCUAGCACCCCUGCCCAGCUCCUUCAACUACUUUCAUGCCUGCCCUGAACACUUGCCUGCAUCCCACAUCCUC
ensembl:lncRNA